CCUCCAUUUCUUCAUUUAUCAACUAAACAAAAUCUCUUUCCUUCUUACAUUUAAAGGUCUUCUACCUUUAAAUUGUUCUCCUACAUCUGGUAUCAGAGCGAUUGGUUCGUUAGGAGGGUGAUUCAUUAACUAUGGCAGGAAAGAAUAUCCUGUGCAUGGUUCCCAAGUUGACGGGGAAACAAAAUUACAACUUUUGGAGGAUUCAGAUGGAGA
rnacentral:lncRNA from 1 species